rnacentral:rRNA from 1 species
AAUAUUGCGCAAUGGAGGAAACUCUGACGCAGCGACGCCGCGUGAGCGAUGAAGGNCUNNGGAUCNUNAAGCUCUGUCCUUGGNNNNNAAGGUCUUCGGACUUGACGGUACCCAUGGAGGAAGCCCCGGCUAACUACGUGCCAGCAGCCGCGGUAAUACGUAGGGGGCAAGCGUUGUCCGGAAUUAUUGGGCGUAAAGGGUGCGUAGGCGGCCUUUUAAGUCAGAUGUGAAAGCCCACGGCUCAACCGUGGGAUUGCAUUUGAAACUGGAGGGCUUGAGUAUCGGAGAGGGUAGUGGAAUUCCCAGUGUAGCGGUGAAACGCGUAGAGAUAUGGAGGAACACCAGUGGCGAAGGCGACUCUCUGGUCUGCAACUGACGCUGAGGCGCGAAAGCGUGGGGAGCGAACA